UACGUAGGUGGCGAGCGUUGUCCGGAAUUACUGGGUGUAAAGGGCGUGUAGGCGGGGAUGUAAGUCAGAUGUGAAACUCCGAAGCUUAACUUCGGAACUGCAUCUGAAACUGUGUCUCUUGAGUGCUGGAGAGGAAAGCGGAAUUCCUAGUGUAGCGGUGAAAUGCGUAGAUAUUAGGAGGAACACCAGUGGCGAAGGCGGCUUUCUGGACAGUAACUGACGCUGAGGCGCGAAGGCGUGGGGAGCAAACAGG
rnacentral:rRNA from 1 species